GGAUCAUUAAUGAAUUUUAUGGCGGAAUUGUAGCUGGCCCCAACCGGGCAUGUGCACAUUCUGUUCAUUCCAUUCUCAUACACCUCUGUGCACUUUACAUAGGUUUGGUAUAGAAAAGGUCUUUAUUGACUUUGGAAAUACUGACCUAUGCUUUUAUAAACGCUUCAGUUUUAGAAUGUCAUCCGCGUAUAACGCAAUAAAUACAACUUUCAGCAACGGAUCUCUUGGCUCUCGCAUCGAUGAAGAACGCAGCGAAAUGCGAUAAGUAAUGUGAAUUGCAGAAUUCAGUGAAUCAUCGAAUCUUUGAACGCAUCUUGCGCCCUUUGGUAUUCCGAAGGGCAUGCCUGUUUGAGUGUCAUGGUAUUCUCAAUACCCCAAAUCUUUGCGGAUAAGGGUGUGUUGGACUUGGAGGUUUUUGCAGGUAAUGAUUGUAUUACCAGCUCCUCUUAAAUGCAUUAGCAGAGAUAAUACUGCUACUCUCCAGUGUGAUAAUUGUCUACACUGUUAGUAGUGCGGUAUAACAAAAUGUCUAUGCUUCUAAUCGUCUUCGGACAACUUUUGACAAUCUGACCUCAAAUCAGGUAGGACUACCCGCUGAACUUAAGCAUAUCAAUAA
rnacentral:rRNA from 1 species